rnacentral:rRNA from 1 species
AGCAGCCGCGGUAAUUCCAGCUCCAAUAGCGUAUAUUAAAGUUGUUGCAGUUAAAAAGCUCGUAGUUGAAUUUCGGGAUUAGUACGUUGGUCGUGCCUUCGGUACGUACUGGUGUUACUGAUUCCUACCUUCUGACGAACCAUCAUGUCAUUAAUUUGGUGUGGCGGGGAAUCAGGACUGUUACUUUGAAAAAAUUAGAGUGUUUAAAGCAGGCUCGCGCUUGAAUACAUUAGCAUGGAAUAAUGAAAUAGGACGUUGACCCUAUUUUGUUGGUUUCUAGGAUUGACGUAAUGAUUAAUAGGGAUAGUUGGGGGCAUUAGUAUUCAAUUGUCAGAGGUGAAAUUCUUGGAUUUAUUGAAGACUAACUACUGCGAAAGCAUUUGCCAAGGAUGUUUUCAUUAAUCAAGAACGAAAGUUAGGGGAUCGAAGACGAUCAGAUACCGUCGUAGUCUUAACCAUAAACUAUGCC